rnacentral:rRNA from 1 species
UGCCAGCCGCCGCGGUAAGACGGAGGGUGCGAGCGUUAAUCGGAAUUACUGGGCGUAAAGCGAGUGCAGGCGGCUACGUCAGUCGGAUGUGAAAGCCCCGGGCUUAACCUGGGAAUGGCAUUCGAUACUGCAUGGCCAGAGUAUGGUAGAGGGAAGUGGAAUUUCCGGUGUAGCGGUGAAAUGCGUAGAUAUCGGAAGGAACACCGGUGGCGAAGGCGACUUCCUGGGCCAAUACUGACGCUGAGGUGCGAAAGCGUGGGGAGCAAACAGGAUUAGAUA